GUGCCCUUCUCUUGGUGAAACCCUAAUUCCUAGUCUAUAAAAAAGGAACUCCUCCCUUGGACAUCCCAUCAUUGGUUCCCUUGUUGUUUUUAUUUUUUCUAGAGCUCUUCUCCUCCUCCUCUCUUCCUCCUUCAGAUAUCUCUUGCUUUGAAGUGUUCAAGGUGUUUGAAGAAAAAAGAAAAGAUCAACCAUCGAAGUUGCUUGUAGGCUAGCACCUCCAAGCCCC
rnacentral:lncRNA from 1 species